CCUACGGGAGGCAGCAGUGGGGAAUUUUGGACAAUGGGCGCAAGCCUGAUCCAGCAAUGCCGCGUGAGUGAAGAAGGCCUUCGGGUUGUAAAGCUCUUUUGUCAGGGAAGAAACGGGGGUGGCUAAUAUCUACUCCUAAUGACGGUACCUGAAGAAUAAGCACCGGCUAACUACGUGCCAGCAGCCGCGGUAAUACGUAGGGUGCAAGCGUUAAUCGGAAUUACUGGGCGUAAAGCGUGCGCAGGCGGUUUUGUAGGUUUGUCGUGAAAUCCCCGGGCUCAACCUGGGAAUGGCGAUGAAGACUGCAAGGCUAGAGUUUGGCAGAGGGGGGUAGAAUUCCACGUGUAGCAGUGAAAUGCGUAGAUAUGUGGAGGAACACCGAUGGCGAAGGCAGCCCCCUGGGUCAAAACUGACGCUCAUGCACGAAAGCGUGGGGAGCAAACAGGAUUAGAUACCCUGGUAGUCCACGCCCUAAACGAUGUCUACUAGUUGUCGGGUCUUAAUUGACUUGGUAACGCAGCUAACGCGUGAAGUAGACCGCCUGGGGAGUACGGUCGCAAGAUUAAAACUCAAAUGAAUUGACGG
rnacentral:rRNA from 1 species